rnacentral:rRNA from 1 species
UACGGAGGGUGCAAGCGUUAUCCGGAUUCACUGGGUUUAAAGGGUGCGUAGGCUGAUAGGUAAGUCAGUGGUGAAAUACUCCGACUCAAUCGGAGAACUGCCGUUGAUACUAUCUAUCUUGAAUACGGUGGAGGCGGGCGGAAUGCGUCAUGUAGUGGUGAAAUACUUAGAUAUGACGCAGAACACCCAUUGCGAAGGCAGCUCGCUACACCGGCAUUGACACUGAGGCACGAAAGCGUGGGGAUCAAACAGG